GAGGAAUAUUGGGCAAUGCCCGCAAGGGUGACCCAGCAACGCCGCGUGGAGGAUGAAUGUCGUAAGAUUGUAAACUCCUGUUAGAGGGGAAGAAUAGUACCGGUUGGACCGGUAUAUGACUGUACCCUCAGAGAAAGCCCCGGCUAACUACGUGCCAGCAGCCGCGGUAAUACGUAGGGGGCAAGCGUUGUCCGGAUUUACUGGGUGUAAAGGGCGCGCAGGCGGGAUAAAAAGUCAGUGGUGAAAUCCUACAGCUUAACUGUAGAACUGCCUUUGAUACUUUUAUUCUUGAGUUCGGGAGAGAGAGACGGAAUUCCAGGUGUAGGGGUGAAAUACGUAGAUAUCUGGAAGAACACCAGUUGCGAAGGCGGUCUCUUGGUCCGACACUGACGCUGAGGCGCGAAAGCGUGGGGAGCAAACA
rnacentral:rRNA from 1 species